rnacentral:rRNA from 1 species
UAAGGAAUAUUGGUCAAUGGGCGAAAGCCUGAACCAGCCAUGCCGCGUGCAGGAUGACAGCCCUACGGGUCGUAAACUGCUUUUGUGUAAGACAAACCUCUCCGACGUGUCGGGGACUGAUGGUAUUGCACGAAUAAGGAUCGGCUAACUCCGUGCCAGCAGCCGCGGUAAUACGGAGGAUCCAAGCGUUAUCCGGAUUCAUUGGGUUUAAAGGGUACGUAGGCGGAUUUUUAAGUCAGUGGUGAAAUCCUACAGCUUAACUGUAGAACUGCCAUUGAUACUAUUAAUCUUGAGUUUAGUUGAAGUGGGCGGAAUACGGUAUGUAGCGGUGAAAUGCAUAGAUAUGCCGUAGAACACCGAUUGCGAAGGCAGCUCACUAAGCUAACACUGACGCUGAGGUACGAAAGCGUGGGGAGCAAACA